rnacentral:rRNA from 1 species
GAUGAACGCUGGCGGUGUGCCUAAUACAUGCAAGUCGUACGCAUUCUCGUUUCUGAUUGACGGUGCUUGCACCUAAUUGACGAGACAUUGGAAUGAGUGGCGGACGGGUGAGUAACACGUGGGUAACCUGCCCAGAAGUGGGGGAGAACAUUUGGAACCAGAUGCUAAUACCGCAUAACCACAGAAACCACAUGGUUUCUGUGUCAAAGAUGGUUUAGGCUAUCACUUUGGGAUGGACCCGCGGCGUAUUAGCUAGUUGGUAAGGUAAUGGCUUACCAAGGCAAUGAUACGUAGCCGAACUGAGAGGUUGAUCGGCCACAUUGGGACUGAGACACGGCCCAAACUCCUACGGGAGGCAGCAGUAGGGAAUCUUCCACAAUGGACGAAAGUCUGAUGGAGCAACGCCGCGUGAGUGAAGAAGGUUUUCGGAUCGUAAAACUCUGUUGUCAGAGAAGAACGUGUGCGAGAGUAACUGCUCGUGCAGUGACGGUAUCUGGCCAGAAAGCCACGGCUAACUACGUGCCAGCAGCCGCAGUAA